AUGGAGCUGAAGAAAAUUUUGUUCAAGCUCUAGGGCUCCUCGCUCCCGCGAUGGUGCCGCUCGGGAGCGAGCGAUUGCUGAGCUGUGUUUGGAUUUCCAAUCGCCCGGGCCGCCAGUCGGUUCUCGCAGCUGCUGCCGCGCGCAGGGGCAUUGGCGCCGGAAUCAGACGCUCCUCUUCGAUUUCCACCGUCUCGAAGACGAAAUCUCACAGCAUUGUGUUCGGGACCCAGGAAUCCGGGGCCCGGGAUCACGGCAGAGCCUUCGUCCACAUCGUGCCUUCGGAGGACGCUCACCAGAGUGAAUUUAUAGCCGAGUGCUUCACGCGACGAGCUUACGUUUCAGGAUUCACGGGAAGCGCAGGAACUGCUGUGAUCACCUUGGAGAAGGCUGCGCUUUGGACGGAUGGUCGAUACUAUCUUCAGGAAACUCAAGGUGAUGAGAUUGCAACUUGGAUUGGAAAAUACUUUCUGAAUUGAUGCUUCUUAACUUUUAGGAUGAUUUAUCCAUUAUUGAUCACUGGUGUAUUGAUGGAAGGCAUCAUGGUCUUUCCAGUGAUGUGUACACAAGAUGAAUGUCUGAGAAUGCGGACUUGAUCCGGCCCAGCCUAUGGUAAAGAGCAGGCCAACGUUUGGAUGGAAAGCUGUGUUUAUUUUGUUCGCGGAGAUGUAUAAGUCUGGCAACGGGCAGCAGUGGCUCCUUCCACAGCUCACCUAGGCGAGCUGAGAAAGACUUCGCUUGAUUCGAUACCACCACCGUGCUCAAGAACAUCUACACUCUCUUUUGCCAGUCUGAGGUACUAUGCAUGAUUGCGUGAUUGAUUGAAUUGCUGUAGGCUGUGAGGCUUCAGGAAAGAACAUCACCAAGAACAAUCGCUCGGCCUCACCAGAAUCUCCAUCCUGACUGCUGGCACCCAUUCAAGUAUAAUAGUUUGCGAAGGUUCGGCUCCAAGACCAAACGCGUUUCAAACGGUUCCAAACAUGUUCAGCUGAAACCUGCAAAGGUUUGUGCGAGGAUGGCUAUGUCUUAGCUCCACCUUGACGUUCCUUAUCAUCUGGAUCACCGGAGUGUUUUUGAGCUCGAAUUUUUGCGAGGUAAACGUUCGAGGAGAUGAGACAUGUCACCUUUGUAAAGAUGGUCUGCCAGGAACGAGGCAAAGAUUUUAUUGAAAUCUGGUCUUUUGGAAUAUCAUUUGCUCCCAGAGAUAAAUUUCAAAAUGCCAGCUUAUUAUCUUUC